UUUCCGUAGGUGAACCUGCGGAAGGAUCAUUAUUGUAUAACCGAGGUGCGAGGGCUGUCGCUGACCCGAAAGGUCGUGCACGCCCGAGUGCCCUCACACACAUCCAUCUCACCCCUAUGUGCACCACCGCGUGGGUCCCCCUUUGGCUUGUUCGGAGGGGGGCUUACGUUUUCACACAAACUUUGUAUGCAGUGUAGAAUGUAUUUUUUGUUUAUGCGAUCACGCAAUCAAUACAACUUUCAACAACGGAUCUCUUGGCUCUCGCAUCGAUAAAGAACGCAGC
rnacentral:misc_RNA from 1 species